rnacentral:tRNA from 1 species
AUUUAAAUAAUUUAAUUAAAAUAUUGAUUUGUGGUAUCAAAUAUGUGAAUAAAAUUUCAUUUUAAAUU